GAUCCUGGCUCAGGAUGAACGCUAGCGACAGGCUUAACACAUGCAAGUCGAGGGGCAGCGGGGAGUAGCAAUACUCUGCCGGCGACCGGCGCACGGGUGAGUAACGCGUAUGUAACCUGCCUCAUACAGGGGGAUAACAGUUGGAAACGGCUGUUAAUACCGCAUAAGCGCACAGUACCGCAUGGUACCGUGUGAAAAACUCCGGUGGUAUGAGAUGGACCCGCGUCUGAUUAGCUGGUUGG
rnacentral:rRNA from 1 species